GUAACAAUUAAGUGCAUGUAGACUCAAGAAAAUAGGUGGCCGAUGGUCAAUGUACUUUGCAAUCAAACCGCGGAUGAACUCUAAUAUUAGUUGUUUAUUUAUUUGAAGAAAGACGGGAAAGGAAAGGUCGUCUUUUUUCAUGUUUUCCUUAUAAAUAGGCACACAUUCAGCUUCAUAUCUCAUAUAACAUACGCUGCACAGAGAAGUUAGAGAGAACUGUUUGUUUUAGACAGAGAAGUUAGAGAGAGAGAGAGAGAGAGAGAGACAGUGAAAAUGUCAGGAAUCAUGGGCAAGAUUGGAGGUGCCCUCCACAUUGGGGCGACAAGGACAAAGAUGACGAACACCACAAGGACAAAGAUGGCGACCACCACAAGGACAAAGAUGACCACCACCGCAAGGAGAAAGAUGACCACCACCACAAGGACAAAGAUGACCACCACCGCAAGGACAAAGAUGACCACCACCAUAAGGAAGACGACGAAGAUGACCACAAAGACAAGGGCGAGAAGAAGAAGAAGAAGAAGGACAAGAAAGACAAGAAGGACAAGAAGGACAAGAAGGAUGAUAGCAGCGACAGCGAUUAAUCCGUCGCAUGUGCAUGCAUCUGCCCAAUAAUCAGGUGUUUGGGGCGUCAAGAGAGCGUGCUCAACUCCUGUUUCCUUUACGUUGCAGCCAAUACUUAAAUUUCAAGAAGAAAAAGGCUUGUUUCACAGCCCAACCAAAAACCAAGAACCAAAAAGAAAGUGUGUAUUUGCUGAAUACUGUUACUAGCUACAUGAAAAAUGUUUCUGGCACGUUUUGAAUGUAUGAUUUAAUGUGAAACCUUCGUAAGCCUUUGAUAUGAAAUAAUAUUUUGGAUGAAUGCUCA